rnacentral:rRNA from 1 species
UGGGGAAUAUUGCACAAUGGGCGCAAGCCUGAUGCAGCCAUGCCGCGUGUAUGAAGAAGGCCUUCGGGUUGUAAAGUACUUUCAGCGAGGAGGAAGGCGUUGUGGUUAAUAACCGCAACGAUUGACGUUACUCGCAGAAGAAGCACCGGCUAACUCCGUGCCAGCAGCCGCGGUAAUACGGAGGGUGCAAGCGUUAAUCGGAAUUACUGGGCGUAAAGCGCACGCAGGCGGUCUGUCAAGUCGGAUGUGAAAUCCCCGGGCUCAACCUGGGAACUGCAUCCGAAACUGGCAGGCUAGAGUCUUGUAGAGGGGGGUAGAAUUCCAGGUGUAGCGGUGAAAUGCGUAGAGAUCUGGAGGAAUAUCGGUGGCGAAGGCGGCCCCCUGGACAAAGACUGACGCUCAGGUGCGAAAGCGUGGGGAGCAAACA